AGAUGUAGGUUUGAGGGUUAGAGCACUGCACUGGAAUCACAGGGUCGCAGGUUCGAUUCCUGCUACCUCUC